GAUCAUGGCUCAGGACGAACGCUGGCGGCGUGCUUAACACAUGCAAGUCGAACGAUGAAGCCUAGCUUGCUAGGUGGAUUAGUGGCGAACGGGUGAGUAAUACGUGAGUGACCUACCUUUGACUCUGGGAUAAGCCUGGGAAACUGGGUCUAAUACCGGAUACGACCAAUCUCCGCAUGGGGUGUUGGUGGAAAGCGUUAUGGAGUGGUUUUAGAUGGGCUCACGGCCUAUCAGCUUGUUGG
rnacentral:rRNA from 1 species